rnacentral:lncRNA from 1 species
GAGGUGCAGCUGGUGGAGUCUGGGGGAGGCUUGGUCCAGCCUGGGGGGUCCCUGAGACUCUCCUGUGCAGCCUCUGGAUUCACCUUCAGUAACAGAAGCACACACUGGGUCCGCCAGGCUCCAGGGAAGGGGCUGGAGUGGGUUGGCCACUCCGUCUCAAAAAAAAAAAAAAAAAAAAAAAAAAAAAAAAAAAAAGGGAGAUUCACCAUCUCAAGAGAUGAUUCAAAAAACACGCUGUAUCUGCAAAUGAACAGCCUGAAAACCGAGGACACGGCCGUGUAUUACUGU